CAGUCGCGUCUGCCGGAACUCAGCCUUGCUCUUUUGCUUGGUGUAUUUUCUGGUAGACGGGCCAGCAUCGAUUUUGGCCGUCGGAUAAGGCUCGAGGGAAUGUGGCACCUCCGGGUGUGUUAUAGCCCUUGUUCACAUACGACGGCUGGGAUCGAGGACCGCAGCACGCCUUUUGGCCGGGGUUCGCCCCACGUCCGUGCUUAGGAUGCUGGCGUAAUGGCUUUAAACGCCCGUCUUGAAACACGGACCAAGGAGUCUAGCAUAUAUGCGAGUGUU
rnacentral:rRNA from 1 species